rnacentral:rRNA from 1 species
AGCGAACGCUGGCGGCAGGCCUAACACAUGCAAGUCGAACGGACCCUUCGGGGUUAGUGGCGGACGGGUGAGUAACACGUGGGAACGUGCCUUUAGGUUCGGAAUAGCUCCUGGAAACGGGUGGUAAUGCCGAAUGUGCCCUUCGGGGGAAAGAUUUCUUACCUUUGGAGCGGCCCGCGUCUGAUUAGCUAGUUGGUGAGGUAAUGGCUCACCAAGGCGACGAUCAGUAGCUGGUCUGAGAGGAUGACCAGCCAAAUCGGGACUGAGACACGGCCCAAACUCCUACGGGAGGCAGCAGUGGGGAAUCUUGCGCAAUGGGCGAAAGCCUGACGCAGCCAUGCCGCGUGGAUGAUGAAGGUCUUAGGAUUGUAAAAUCCUUUCACCGGUGAAGAUAAUGACUGUAGCCGGAGAAGAAGCCCCGGCUAACUUCGUGCCAGCCGCCGCAGUAA